GACGGAGGAUGCAAGUGUUAUCCGGAAUCACUGGGCGUAAAGCGUCUGUAGGUGGUCAAAUAAGUCAACUGUUAAAUCUUGAGGCUCAACCUCAAAACCGCAGUCGAAACUAUUAGACUAGAGUAUAGUAGGGGUAAAGGGAAUUUCCAGUGGAGCGGUGAAAUGACGUAGAGAUUGGAAAGAACACCGAUGGCGAAGGCACUUUACUGGGCUAUGACUAACACUCAGAGACGAAAGCUAGGGUAGCAAAUGGG
rnacentral:rRNA from 1 species